AGGCGACACCAGGCUCCGCAUAACCCGGGAGUGGCUCAGGUAGGGCCGUCGGUUCCAGUGCCUGCGAGGCAGCAGCCAAGCUGAAAAUGUCUCCCUGCGCUGAGACGCUGGUGACAACCGCCCUUUGGGACUACCUGCCAAACAAGGAGAAUGCGCUCUUUGACAGAUAAUUCCCUAAGAGGGAGGCACUGCCUCGGUCGGUAGACAAGUAAUGAAUGACCGAAAAAAAAAUCACAUUAGAAGUUAUCACCAGCACGGGUGCGAAGGCAGUGCAUUAAAUCAACACUCAUUUUAGAGCGCCCCAGACAGCCCAGCCGGAAGGGAGGAGAUCAGAGCUGUCAAAGCACAGCAGAGCCCCAAACCACAAAGGCUUAAUGAAAUUCAACUUCCUGAGCCAGGAAGUGUCACGGUCUCGCCCGCACUCGCCCUAAGCUCGUCCUUUCCUUUUGAGGAGGCACAGGCAGAGCUGAAACAUCUUAAGUAAAGUUUCCAACACCUACAACCACUGGGAUUCCGUGAGACUGGAGAGAAGAGUCCCGCGCCCGCCCUCGCUCGCGCUUCCAAUUCUGUCGCUCCCGAGUGUGGGGAGCUGGCGGGGCCGCCGAGCACCUCCUCUACCCAGGGGGCCAGGUCCCUGGGCCCGGGGCACCGCAGACCCAGAGCCGGGCUCACACCGGGGGGCCCGCGAGCCCCACCCACCUCGGCACCUCCGGCCGCCGCGCGCCGCGCGACCCGCGCAGGUGAAGCAGCCGCCGCCCGCCACGAGCGCCCCCCUACCUUCUUCACUUUGUUUUCCAGGUCCAUGUUAACGCGUCCUAUGGGUCCCCUCCUCCUCCUAUCCGGGAUCCCACGGCCGGGUUCAGCUGGCCUCCGGCUCCGCUGCGAACACGGGAAACCUGCGGAACUCCCGCGGCGCCGCUCAACAGCCACUCGCCCGGCGCCGUCGAACUUCCGCCGCCCAGUCCGCCGCAGCGGGCCUGCGGCCCGGACCCGGGAACAAAGGGGGCCGGGCAGCCAAUGGCAGCCGGGCAGCUCCGGGCCGCCGCCAAUCACCGAGCGCCGCACGCACCUUCGCGGCCCGAGCGCGGCGCUGGCAAGGUGAGAGGCGGGGCGGCGUCCGAGGCGGCGCCCUGCUGGGCAAGCUCAGUGACCCUGACCUGGUCUCCGAAGGGAUUCUCUGGGCGUCCACGGGCCGGCUUCUAAAGAGCUGGGAUCCCCAGCCUCCCUCUAGCUGAAGAUGGAGAAGAACUUUUUCCAUUUGGCAAUUUGUACCUGUGUUUGCCCAGGACUUUUUAUUUGGGUCAAGGGGAAUAGUUAUCCCAAUACUAACUUCUCAGUUUAUUUUCAGGGUAAAGAGAGAAAAAAAAGAGAGAGAGAGAGAUUGUAGGGAUCGUUAGGGAUUCCUGUGAUGGACCUUGGGCACUAAAUUCAAUAUUGCGUUGUGGAGAUGCCCUUUCCUCAAUUGCUUUUUUCCACAAUCCCAAAUACUGUCAAGAAACCGUAUCUUACAUCCCUAAAGUCAGCGAAGAUUCUUAGAUUGUUUUCUGAGCAUUGGGUUGUUCAAAAGUAAAGAUGAUGUGAAUCACUUCAGAAACAGGUUGUGUCAUUCCUUUGGAAGCAGAGGGUUGCCCUUUGUCUCUGUGUGAGAUGGUGCUAGGCCUAUCGCGUGCUCAGGCUUUGAUGAAGCAGAGUCAUCACAUUGGUGCACCAAAGCUGAAUUCAUUUCAUGCCCUAAUUCAGGAGCAAUUGCAUCUAAUACCAUCAGAUUGGUCGGUCUGGAAGGGAGCCUAACGAUUACUUAGUCUAGCUUCCUCACUUUGCAGGGAACUGAGGACUCCAGAGGUGCAGGGACCUGCCUAAUGUCUUAGCCUGUUGGGGACAGAGGCAUUGCUCAUGAAUCUAAACAACUUCUCAAAGAUGUUUGGGGCUGGAAGCACAGCAUGUUGACUAAGGAAAAAGAGCAGUCAAUUUUCUUCAAUUUGUGGUUAUGGCAAAAAAUAACAUUGCCCAGACAGCAGGUGACCUAAUUUGGCACCUACUUUUAAAAAUAACAAAACAAUAUAAAACAAACAAACAAAAAUUCCCUAAUAAUGCAGAUAUUCAGGUCCAGAUGUAUGUCUGCCUUGCCUCGAGAAAUUUGGUAGCUAAAAAUAUCCAAAAUUCAUUUUAGCCAAUACUUGCAACUCUGCUUACUUGAUUAUUUGUUAACACAGAGCAUUGAUUUAUAAUGUGCAUGUUUCCUUUAUCCUAUUAAGAAUUAAAACUGAAAUUACCAAAA
rnacentral:lncRNA from 10 species